CUUGCACUUUUCGUUAUUUCUUGUUGCUGGCCUGUGUUUUUGAUAUUACUAUGAGGAUUACAAAAUGACUUUAUUAUAUAAUCUAUGCAAAUGAACUAAGGAUCCAUGAAGACAGUGGCAAGGAUAAAUUAUUCUCUGCUGCAUCUCACACAUCAGCAAGAACCAACACAGUGAAUCUGAUGAAAAGGAGAAACAAAAAGAGACACACCACAAACGAGUUUCCCUGACUAACAUGAGAGGAGCAGUAACUGCAUAAGGAGGAAGAAACAGGAGCAUCCAAAGACAGCCUGAGAGUUUUUGGGGGCACCGUGAACAGCAGUCACCUCAGAGCAAGAGAGUCCUGGUGGCUGUCUGGGUUCUCUCCAGGAGCUCUGGCUUCAUCCCACAGUCCAGAGAAAUGAUCUGAGCUGGUGAGUCCAGUCAGUGUGUGUCAGAUAGUCGUCAACAAACUUGAGGAACCGUCCUUUAAACAGCAGCCAUUUGGACUCUAUGAACAAUCUGCUCCUCUCCCUUUACCAUGACCUGGUUACGGGGUGCAAGGAUUUUCCUCCAAUCGCAGUCAGGGGAUAGUGUCACUCAGAGGAGCUGACGACACCUUUUAGACCUGUGCUGCAGAGUCGGAGGGCAAACACCACUCCAUCUCCUUCUACAGACUCACCAGCUGGUAUGAUGGUGCUGCCUCCAGGGUCCCGCCUCACAUCUCAGAUCCUGACUCCGGUCCUUCCUGACAAGGCGAAUAUUUUUGUGCUGAAGGCAGACCGGAGGAACUGUGUCCGCACCCUGGAGGUCAACGGCCUCACCGUCAACAGAGUCAUAUCUGCUGUGUAUCGCACAGAAGACUGUGACACUGAGAUGACAAACAUCUGGAGGGUCACUGACUACAGCUCAGAGGGCAACGUCAUCAUGUCAGUGCUCUGCCGCUUCCCGAGGAAGUUUGCACAGCGUGCAAAAGAAAGGCGACAGAG